rnacentral:rRNA from 1 species
GUCGAGCGCGGGAAGCCGGCGGACUCCUUCGGGAGGAAACCGGUGGACCGAGCGGCGGACGGGUGAGUAACACGUGGGCAACCUGCCGGACUGAUGGGAAUAACCCCGGGAAACCGGGGCUAAUGCCCAAUACGCCCUGACCUCGCCUGAGGUCAGCGGUAAAGCAGGGAUCUUCGGAUCCUUGCACAGUCCGAUGGGCCCGCGGCGCAUUAGCUAGUUGGAGAGGUAAGGGCUCCCCAAGGCGACGAUGCGUAGCCGACCUGAGAGGGUGAUCGGCCACACUGGGACUGAGACACGGCCCAGACUCCUACGGGAGGCAGCAGUAGGGAAUCAUCCGCAAUGGGCGAAAGCCUGACGGUGCAACGCCGCGUGAGUGAUGAAGGUUUUCGGAUCGUAAAGCUCUGUUGACAGGGAAGAACCCACGCCAGUCGAACAGGCUGGCGUGCUGACGGUACCUGUCCAGAAAGCCCCGGCUAACUACGUGCCAGCAGCCGCGGUAAUACGUAGGGGGCAAGCGUUGUCCGGAAUUAUUGGGCGUAAAGGGCACGCAGGCGGUUUCGUCAGUCCGAUGUGACAGGCCACGGCUCAACCGUGGAAGGCCAUUGGAAACUGCGAAACUUGAGGACAGAAGAGGAGAGUGGAAUUCCACGUGUAGCGGUGAAAUGCGUAGAUAUGUGGAGGAACACCAGUGGCGAAGGCGACUCUCUGGUCUGUACCUGACGCUGAGGUGCGAAAGCAUGGGGAGCAAACAGGAUUAGAUACCCUGGUAGUCCAUGCCGUAAACGCUGAGUGCUAGGUGUUAGGGGUUUCGAUACCCGUAGUGCCGAAGCUAACGCAUUAAGCACUCCGCCUGGGGAGUACGACCGCAAGGUUGAAACUCAAAGGAAUUGACGGGGGCCC